AGGUAAUCGAGUAUAUGGGGAUAAAUAUCUCACAUUCAACGACUGAACGUGUGUAAAAAAAAAUGGGGGCUAAAACCCCCCAUUUUAUUGUUUACC
rnacentral:sRNA from 1 species